CUUGUUUUUUUGGUCCAAAAAACAAACACACAUCUGUUUACAAAGCAAUAAACUAGCAAUUCACCAUAGCUAUUAAUAACACAGGAUGGAAUGGGAAAAUGUCAUUGCCCAAAUCACACAUCUUGCACAAGGUGCUAGCCCUAACCAACCAAACUACCCCAA